AAAUAUCUCGAAAUUAUCUGGGAGACGGAAUUGAACUCCGAAAAUUCCAAAUCUGACUGAAAAUGCCGCUCAAUUAUCCGAGAGAUGAAAUUGAACUCCGAAAAUUCCGAAUCCGAGUGAAAAUGUUGCGAAAUCACCCAAAAUUUAGAAUUAGGUCCCGAGCAUUCUGAAAGCAGGUGAAAAUGCCGCGAAAUUAUCCGAGAGAUGAAAUUGAACUCCGAAAAUUUCGAAAACUGACGAAAUCAGGCGAAAAUACAGCAAAACGGACGCUUAACUAGGUCUGACCCGCGCUCACGCGGGUCAGAUGGAUCCGACCCGCGUGAUCGCGGGUCGGAUUGAUCCGACCCGCGAGCACGCGGGUCGGACACAAGUCCGACCUGCGGAACGCGGGUCGGAGGGGCUGAAAAGGCGUAAAAAAUCCCCCAAUUUUCUUCUUCUUCUUCCCAUAUUCGGUUCCAGCUUCUUCUCCUUCCUCCUCUUCCAAUUUGGAUUCGAGCAAAAGGGUAGACCUAGGGUUUCGGUGGAUCUUGAACUCGAACAAUUGGGGGUUCUUUUAGCGCUCAUCCUUCAUCUACUUCGGAUUCCAGGGUUUCGGGUCUUGAUUUGGGCUCGGACGUUGCCGUGGGUCCUCUCCAUCGAACUCGUCCUCUCUGAUCCAAUCUGAACUUGAUUUCGAAUUGUGAAUCUGAACUCAUUCAUGGUUGAGUUCUUAGUUGAUGAUUGCGUGCAUAAGGCCCUAGUUCUUCAAUCAAUCUUGGGGAAAACCGAAAUCUUUGGAAUUUUGGGGGGUUGAUGACUGGCCGAUUGAGCUCUUGAAAGCACUCUCCCGAUGCUAAUGACCGCACUUUUACAGCAUCCUGACUAACAGAAGCCAGGAACUCCCCGUUAUUGUCCCAA